GUGCGUCUCGCGCCGCCGCCGCCCGCCGCGUGAGAGGACGGGCUCCGCGCGCUCCGGCAGCGCAUUCGGGUCCCCUCCCCCCGGGAGGCUUGCGAAGGAGAAGCCGCCGCAGAGGAAAAGCAGGUGCCGGUGCCUGUCCCCGGUGGCGCCAUGGCGACCGGAGCGAACGCCACGCCGUUGGACUUCCCAAGUAAGAAGCGGAAGAGGAGCCGCUGGAACCAAGACACAAUGGAACAGAAGACAGUGAUUCCGGGAAUGCCUACAGUUAUUCCCCCUGGACUUACUCGAGAACAAGAAAGAGCUUAUAUAGUGCAACUGCAGAUAGAAGACCUGACUCGUAAACUGCGCACAGGAGACCUGGGCAUCCCCCCUAACCCUGAGGACAGGCUGAAGACAGUGGGAGCAGCCGAGUUCAGUCCUUGCUCUCCAACUAGGCAAGGUUCUCUCAACUAAACCAAGGGUCCCCUUCCCCUGAGCCCAUCUACAAUAGCGAGGGGAAGCGGCUUAACACCCGAGAGUUCCGCACCCGCAAAAAGCUGGAAGAGGAGCGGCACAACCUCAUCACAGAGAUGGUUGCACUCAAUCCGGAUU
rnacentral:sRNA from 1 species